CCAGCCCUGUGAGAAGAGGUAAUUUUGCAAAUUAGCCCAAGAACCCUGAAUGAGUUAACCCCUGUGAAGCAGGAGUGCAUCUCGCUCCACCACCAAAGGUUUAGGCCUGCACGUUCCAGACCCUUCUGCUGCCUUCUCCCUCUGGGCCUGUUCACGUCACUCCAGCUCUUCUCCAAGGAGCCGGCUGGGUCUGGCCGGAGACGCUGCCAGCUCCACGGAGCCGUCAGCCUUCAGAGCAGCACCUUGGGCCAGGAAACACGGACAGGGGGAGUUCUGUGUGCGACUAAUGGACCCCAGAUAGAGCCACUCUUCAGUCACUGCCGUCACUUGAAAAUGCAUUUCCAGUUGACAAUAGCCGUCUGCCUAUAGAUAGCUCCACGCAAAGAUGGCUGGUCAGGCUGCUCUCCCAGAUGCCUGGGUCAGCAAUUUCCAAAGCAUCCAGUCAGCAGUUCCUGCUUCCUCCAGCAAAGUCUGGCUCUCUCCUCCCAUCUCCCAGUCCCAGGACAGGGUCCGGGCCUAGAGGGGACAGUGGCCGCCCCAAUCCGUUGCCAACAGCAGGCCCCUCUCUCUGCGCUGCCUCCAGGCCCCCAGAUGCCGACAAAGCCCAGAGCGAGCAGGCAACUCCCCACAGGACUCAGUGAACCAGGUUUGAACCCAGGUCGGCUGAUUUAUGCCCAUGUGUGUCUAUGCUGUUUAUAUGCGGGAACACACGUGCAUAUGGCUGUGUGCACAUAUAGGUGCACACAUAACUACGAGUGUUUGUGCGUCUGUGAGUGUAUGUAGGCAUAUGCACACAUGUACCUGUACACGCCUGUGUGUUCACGUGUGCGUAUGAGUGGGUCUGUGUGCAGAUGCGUAAGUAUAUGGGUGUGUCUUUAUAUGUACUUCCCCGUUCGUGUCCGUAGUCAGCUAUCCACAGCAGCAGGAGGCAGGUGUUCCAUGGCUGUGUCCCCUGAAGCCGUUCUCCAAGGUCCCCUUGGCUACUGCCUGCUGGCCUCACUUCUCAGGCUCCCUCCCACCCUCCCCUGGGCCCCAGCCUGUGGCUUCCAUCCCUCAGCUCUGCUGCUGCCCAGGUCCCAGUUUCUGCAAAGGCCACCGGGACCUCCAGAUGCUCCCCUGGCCACGUCAGGCGACUGCAGGGGAACAGGAUGGUCCAGGCCCUAAGCAGAGGCCUAGAAACGGAUGCUCCAGCCAUGGCGCUCGGUGUGAGGAACGAAGGUUCUUGGAAGGAAGUGAAAUCCCCUCUCACUUAACAGCCUAAUAAGUAUUUGAACCUGAGUCAGUGAGGACUUGUCAGUUGUAGUGUUUUCUCAGAGGCGAAGGACACGUCUCAGCUUUCAAGCCCACGGGGGAGGGACGUGACCAGCUGGAGAAGGGCAGGUGGAGGCCUCUGGCACGGGCUCCGCCUGGCCUGAGCAUCCCGAGAGGCCCCGGGAAACUGUGCAGGGCCUCGCUAGACGUGGGGCUGGCGGCAGAGCGGAUGUGCAGGUGAGAGUCGGGGCAGCCUCCCACGGAGACCGUGGGGAAAUGAAGUCAGCGAGGCGUGGCCAGAAGCCAGCUUGAAGACGGUUCCAGAUGCCUGGGCCCCCUGAUGCACGUGGAAGGAGGGGCCGGCGGAAUGAGAGGGUCAGGAAAUUCGUCACCAGAUUCAUGCUCGGUGACUAGCUUGCAAAAGGUCAGGUUGAGCCAUUUAGGCCAUCUCAGGUUCUCUGCAGCUGUGCCCCCUCCCACUGUCUCCUUUCUGGUUCUUUAGCACGGGGGCACAUCUGCCCCCAGGCUCAGCCCAGCUGCCCCCUGCCGGGGAAGCCCUGCCGGCCCCCUGGCUGGCAGCUCCUGGUCAUCCAGUCCCAGCCUGCCUUCCCGGACCACCUCCCUUGAGCUGCCCUCAAAUCCGGCCUGACACCCUCCUUCCCUAAUCGGUUUUGUGUCCCUCGCCUGGCAUGAUCCCUCUUGAGCUCCUUGCUAGUUAUUCUCUUUCUCUCCCUGAAACGUGAGCUUCCUGGCAGUCACGUGCCUCUUGUGUGCUGACCGUGCGGCAUUUCCAGAGCCUGGACAAGGACCAGCACGCAGUCCAGGCUCCAUAAAUGCUUGUUGAAUGAGGAGUGAUUAGCCACAUCAACAGGACUGGCCUCGCGGAAUCAUUUAAUGACAGCAUCAGGCUGUCACGGCUUGUAGCCCGCGCCUUGGAGCACCUGCAGAAACAUUCUCUGCGCUCAAGGAGCAGAGGGAACCGCCAGCCCUCUCUGCAAGGGCCGGCUUGUAGGAGCAAGAGGGAGCCUGGGGGUCCUUGGUGCCGGCCACAAAGCCAGUGCUGGGUUUGUUUAGAAUCGCGCUCAGAAUGAAGGACGACUCUUAAGCUGGAGAUCUCUUAAUACAACAAGCAAACACCACAGGUUUUUCCAAGGCUGCUGCCACCAGGCGGGCGGGGCGCAGGCUCCCUUUCUUGGCUUGCUUCUGCCAUCUGCUGGCCAUGCAUUGAAAUGCAUUGAAAGGGGGUUUAUUGUCCAGUCUCUUGCAUACUUCUGCUUCCUUCUGGGAUGAUCGAUCUCCUUGCCAAUUUUAUUCCCCACCCCACCCCCUCGGCAGGAGCUGCCUAGAUGACCCAUCCCUUGAGUAGGGCAGACUCUAGGCCCCAGGUGGGCUGGAGAAAGUCACCUGGCCCUGCAUCCUGUGACUUUCCCUCAUUUUUACAUACAGUAACUCUGUUAACACUCAGGAUCAAACCUACUGAGCAAGGACAUUUUUUACAGAGAGGGCGUGAAGGCGCAGAGAGGUCACGUGAACUGCUCAGAGUUGCAUAGCACAGGCGGUGGAGCCAAGCAGUAAGGCAUCUGAGGGCACAUUCUAUCAACAACCAUCACGGCCCAGGUCCCCCCGCUCCAGGGCCCCACUGGAGCGCUGAGAAAAGCUGGAUGUGUACAGAGUGGAGGAUGGAGGAGAGGAGCCCUGCAGCCCAUGCUCUCAGAGGUCUAGAGGAGCCUCCGUAUUUGGAGCCUUCCUCUUCAGACCUAGAAAACGGGAGCAUUGGACUACAGGCUUUCCAUGUUCCAUGCAGGUUCUGGACAGGACAGAGGUACAGAGGUCAGCACAGGCUCUUUGGGCAGAGAGACCCAGCCAAGGUAAAGACCAGACACUUCCCCCCACUAUAACUCUGUGAAUAGGAGGGAAGGUGUUGUGAUCUCCAAGCCUCGCUCUUGAGGAAGAUAAAAUGAGGUCAAGUGCAAAGCUUUUUGCGCUGUGAUGCUCAGAGAAAGUGCUUAAUAAAUAUCGCCAGUUGUUAUAAUGACAUUAAAGGCUCUGAGAAGUCCUGCAGGAAGUACCCUGCUCAAUUUCAGCUCAGCCUCUCCCUAUCCUAGCUGCCUACAGCACCACCGCAGAGCCCUGUGAGAUCCAUUGUCCCACAGAAUCCGUUUGCCCUCAUUGGUUUAAACCGCUUCCCAGAGCGACGAGGGCCUCAAUUCCCACCAAGAGUAGAAUCAGAGCAGGAGCUCUGUGCUCUGAGCUCUGUACUCUUUCUUGCUUUCACCACUUCUCUGUAUCCCAAAGCAGUUCCCAUAGCCAAUGAACAAAAGAACCAGGAGCCAUUCUCCAGGCUCCCAAGAUGAAAUAUUUCACAUUUGGAUUCUGCAAUGCGCAUUGUCAGUGUUAUGGACCACAGGCAAUUAAGAGUCCAAGCCCGGGAAGCCUGUUGUUAAUAAUUCUGUCAUUAUUCUCAAUUUUCAGCACCACCACACAGGAAACACCCAUUUCCAAUUUCUUUAAAGGUGCUAAAUGGCUUUGGCACUGUGUCGUGAAAGUUUACCGUCAGCCAAAUGGCUGCAAAGUGGACUCUGGGGCUGUGACAACUGCUGGUUUGGCCUGACCCACCGGGGUGACCCCUUUCUCAGAGUGUCUUGUUCUCAGGACAGGUGACUUGGACCGCGCGGCCCUGGGGCAUAUGCAGCCUGGCUGGGCGGUGCUGACUACAGGGAUUUCACAAGGCCCAGCACACAGGAUGCCAACAGAAAACCACUCCUUCCUGCUGAGGCAACACCCCAGGAACGGAUGGAGAAACCGGUGAGCAGCCUCUCUGACCAGGGUCGGAGUCAAGAAACGGAAGUGAGUGGGCAUCUGAGGCAUGUCUGCAGAGCCAGCGAGUGGGAGGACAAGUUCAAGUGGCCAGGCCACGGAGGCCACCGCGCUGCUUCUCCUCCUCAGGGCAGUGAUGCCCUUGAACCAGAAGCCUGAGCCUUUAGCAGCAGUGACAAGGCCUGGAUGCAGACGAUGCCACGCCAGUAGCCAGGACAGGCCGUGGUGACCUGCACGCACUUUAGCCCACCAGCCAGCCCUCUGAGCACUUUCCAGAGUAACUCUUCUCCUGAGAUCCCUGGGAGGUGCCCCGUUAGGAUUGUCCCGUUUCACAAAGGAAGGACAGGACAGGGAGAGGCCAGGAACUUUCCAACGUCGCACUGAGGACGAGGCCCAGAGGAUGCUACAAGGAGCCCGGCCAGGGGAGGCAGGACUUGUGCGGCUUCCUUUCCGAAUCCCUGCUCCCAGCCACGCCCCUCCCGUGAAGCCCCUUUCAGCCCCAUUCCUCAGAGUCCUGUCUGCUGCCUGCCACCCCAUGAUGCAGAGGCUCAGGGCUGACUGCUGGAGCGACGAAUGGACGAUGGCGAAGGGCAAUGUGUGUGCCCCGAGGACACGCGCUCCCACCAGGUCAGGAGUGGUCAGGAGAGAAGUCUGUGGCUGUCUGGAAGGCAGACAUGACACGCUGUGCAGUGAGCUCUGACGGGCGGGCCCUGGGGAAGCUCCUGCUUGUUGCUGCUGAUGGCACUGCGCCUGGUUGUCAUGGGGCAGGAAGGGGACCAGAAGCUCCUCCAGCUCUGAGUCCUGGCCCAGGUGGGUGACCAGCGACAUGUGAGGGUGCCUCCUUCUGCAGGUCACAUGGGUCUCCAGUUCAGAGGUAGUCCGAGACAGGCAGGUUCCAGGCCAGUCCAUUCCUUUCGCUCUAGUUUCUCCCCCCUCCCUCCUGCUUUGGGUCCUGCCUGGCUGGCCCCUGGGAACUUCAGGCCAACCACCAAUGGGAAGGCAUCAGCCUUCUGGAGACUUGCUCACCGCCUGCCACCCCGCCAUCCCCGCCGGAGGCCCAGCCCCACGGUAAAUCUCAUCCCACAUCCCUCAAAGGGCUUCAUCAAGGGAGCACAACUGCUUAUCAACACAGUCCACUAGGUGUUCCCAAGGCUGAGAUUAAACUCUAGGGACUCAGGUCCACCUGAGAGUGGCAUGAAAGCCGUGGGCUCUGUCACAGGCAUGUCCCUGAAUAUAAAGUGUUUAGCCCAUUGCUGGGUAUGGGCCAGUGAGGCUCAGGCUUUCACGUGCACACGUGUCACCUGGGAUCCUGUUCUCGCUGAAGUGCGGACACAGGUGCAGCAGGUCUGGGGCGGGGGCCAGGAUGCUACAGUCCGAACAAGCUCCCAGGUGAUGCCGGUACUGCUGGGCCACAGACCACACUUUGAGCAGCCAGGUGUCAGAGGUUCAUGAACCCCACAUGAGGAGAAGCCCACAAAGGUUUGCCCAAUAGUCUGAAUAGUUUGCCCAAACUUUCCCACAUACAUCGUGAGAGGCACUGCCUAAUACUCAGAGCCGCUGCUUCAUAAAUAUUUGCUGACCGGACAAGUAAUCUGGCAGUUUUCAUAGCAGCUCAUCCUGAGUUGACCUCCCUCAGCCAUCUGCACCCCCAGCUCCCCAUUACAGCUCCCGUCGUUCACUCGUGGGGGUUCAGAGACCAGAGACCCAGGAUCCUCACCACAGUCUAGGGAGAAAAAUGAGCCUGUGACUCAAAGGCUGCAGGCAUGACUUUCAGGGGCAAAAAAGAAAGGCAAGGGCAGGCCUGUUACAGAUGCGGGUCUGGGCAGGCCCAUUACAGAUGCGGGUUUGGGCAGGCCUGUUACAGAUGCGGGUUUGGGCAGGCCUGUUACAGAUGUGGGUUUGGGCAGGCCUGUUACAGAUGCGGGUUUGGGCAGGCCUGUUACAGAUGCGGGUCUGGGCAGGCCUGUUACAGAUCCAGGUUCCCAGGGCCCCAGCCCAGACCCGCCUAAUGAGUCUCUGGAUGUGGGACCCCGCAACUGUGUUGCUACAAGCUCCCCAAGGGAUUCUGGCACAGGGCAGCUGAGCUUCCAGGCACUGUUACUGCCCAUCCUGCAGCCAUCCGUCCUCAGCGUGGACCAGCAAGGGGCUCUGGCCACUUAUCUGUCACUUCAGCUUGCAGUGAUGAAGCGGCCACCUCGUGACAGGAGCAGCAGAGAGAAAAAAACCCGCAGAGGUGGGUCCACACAGAUGCACCCUCAGAAGGCCCGCCUGCAGCAGGCAGAAGGCAAACAGGCGGCGAGGGGGUGCACCUCCGUAGCGCCACGUGAGGGGGCGCUGGCAGGAGCCGCCGGGGCCCGGAAGAAACUUGACCUGAACCAUGAUGUUAGCACCUGCUGCCCAGGGGGGCGGGGUGGGGGCAGGCAAAUCUCAGUGUGACUGGGAUAUAGGAUUCCAGGCAGGGCGUGGGAGGGACAGGCGGGAGGGGCACGUCUGCCAUCCAGGAGCACAGCCUGUGAAAGCUGCGCCCACCACCUACUCCUACCCAGGGAGUUGAAUCGCCACAUUCCAUAGGGUGCCUGGGAAGCCCAGAGUAUCGCCCGCUCCUCAGAAUCGAAAUGAAUAUCACCCAUCUGAAGACAGUUUGCAAUAAAAUAGUCUUUACCGUUAUUGAGAGUUUGCCCUGAUCCUGCCAACCCCCGUGCUUGAUUUAAAAUCCUUCCAUCUGGAAUUAUUAAGGGCAGUUUAUCAAAGUAAAGAUGGAUGGCGUAAGCAGAUUUUGCUGCUGGCAUUCAGAAAGACGUGUUAUCCCCCUGCCAUUCAGCAAACGUUCUUUAAUCACGGUUGAUUGAAGGUUACCAGCUCUGAAUUAUUAGUUAAUGGCAUCUCUGCAAAAGAAUGAUUUAUUGGGCAAGUAAACUUUGCAAACGAACGCAGAUUCUGAAUUGCUGGGUAUUUCAUCCAAAGCUGAAAUGUGCAUUAUUUGGACAGUGUGUCUUCAGAGCGGAAACAAAGCCCAGAGCAGAGGCUAACAUUUAGCCUUGAGCUGGGGUUUCCCUGUGCUUUCAGGGACUGGAACCCCGUUUCCCUUCGCUGGGUCCCUAUCCUGAAACACCGGCCUGGCCGGGCCAGCACCCAGGGAACUCACAUCAGCCUCCAGCCCAGCCUUUCACAUGAGGGACAACUCAGCAUCUGAGCCCCUCACCUGGACCCACCUCAACCCUGUCAACAUAGCAGUUCUUAGGGACGAGGGACAAGGCGGUGAGGGGCCUGUCUUCUCCCUGGGCCACAGUUCUCAGAAUCCCGAGCCUCAGACCCUCAGGAGCGCUCCCUGAUACACAGAGUACUGGCCCACCCCUGUUGCUGAGUCUGUCGAUCUGAGGACGUGCACUUAAACUCCUGGGCGAUGCUGCUGGGCUGAGGCACACCACUUUGAGAGCCACUGCUGCAGUCUGAGUCAGAGGCUUCUGAUCCAGGACAAAGGUUACCAGAAGCCCUGGAUAACACCCAACAGGGGAUCAAAAGUGCGGCUUCUAUUUCAGCCUCAAAAAUAACCAACCCGAGGAUCAUGAGAAACUGGUGCCAAUGAGAUCACUCUGUGCCCUGAGCAAGGGCUCCCUGCCUGCCCAGCUUGGGGAGCAUCAGCCUAGGAAGGUCAGCAGAGCCUCGGAGGACCCCAGACCAAAUCCCUAUGCCCCCCCACCCCCCGACCAGCAGGUCAGCAUAAGCAGCCCCUGGGGUCCCGGUGAGCAGAGCAGAGACAGUGAUGGCCCAGCCAGGUGAUUUGCCAGGAGGAUUAUCACAGUGGUACAUGGAGAAGCCCUGUGUGCUUGGCACAUCCUCAGCGCCCAAUUAAAGCAGCUGCUGAGAAUAAUACUUUUAAAGAGCCACUCCACCAGGUUCUGCCCCAGACGCCUUGUGCUGCUUGAAGAGCCAGGAAUGUGCUCGGAGAUCAGCUACAUUACAGUCCUGCAUGUCCGUGUGCUUUCUCAGUCGAGUGUCUUCCUUGUUCCGAGUUUUGGCAUUCAUCAGCUCCCCUGCCCCCUGCCCCUGGCACCAGGCUGGGCAGAAGGAAGAGUUGGACCAAAGUCCUGCCCACAGCCCCUCCCCAAGGGCAGUGAUUCAUUUCUGCCCACAUCUGUCCCCCUUCGGAAGCUGUCAUGAAAGCCUGAUGCUGGCACCCGAGUUGCUGUGAGUUCCACUAGUGACUAGCAGUGAUUUUCAUGCCGCUGCUCAGAGACAGGGCUGGAGCAGCUGUGAAGUGCCGUUGGCUUAAACCCCUGCUUCUUCCAUUUGAGGUGUUCAUUUGCUAAAUGACCCAGCCUAAUCUUGCUGUCAAGAUUGCAGAACAAAGGGAGCUUGGCGGCAGGGCUCUGAAAAUCUCUUAAGCAAAGGAGCUGCAAGUGGCAUUUCACUGAAGCUUGAUCGCUCAGGCCGUCCUGGCAGAAGCUGGAGCUGUGAGCGUCCCGGGCUGGCUGACAUUUGCACCGGGCUGCCUGCCUGUGGCUGAGUUACAUCAGCUCUCCCGGGGCUGCCUCCAGAGAGCAAGUUUCUAAAUGUAAGCCCUCGGCCCGUCAUAUAUGUAUCUACUCUCAUGGUGGCCACGCUCAGAGGCUGUGAUCAGGGUGUGACCAGAGGACAUUCUUGAAAUGGGGUCCCUGCUUGGGGGGGGGCUGGUCCCCAUGGCUACUUUAGAACUUGCAUGGCUCCCCUCUGGCCCGUCCCCGAGAGGGCAAACUCUUCCUGACCAGUCCGAGGACAGAAUUCAGCCCAUCGGUCCUGAAAUCUGUAACACAUCAUCACUCAACCAUUACUAGCAGCAGAGGGACGCUCUUGCCCCCACUUGGAAGAAUGUGGCCUCACUGGCAAAUGGAGCCGUUCACAUGCAGACGAGCUUCAAGACAAGAGCUUCUAGGCUGGGACAGACAGAGAUGCCCUCGGCCCGGGUCCCUGAAUCUCGCCCCUCCCCCAAUUCCCGCCGUCACCCGUUUCCGCGCCCUCGUGACUCUGUGAUGCUGUUUAUAGCGAUGCACUUUCCUAACCUGCGUGUUAACUUUAGCUGCAUCCUAAGCACUACCAUACGUAAUGUCAUGGGUUUGGCAUAUGCUGGCUACUCUUUUUUCUAAUAGGAGCUUCAUUAAAAUCUGCAGAAGGAGAAAAGGAAGCUCUUCUGUGUGCCUUUGAUGAGCAGGAAUGAAACCAGCGGAGAGCAGGGCACACUCCAGAAACAUCACUUUACUGCUGUCCUCACACUCUAUGCAGGAAAAAGCAGUAAUGGCCAGGCCUUUGCACACGUCGUUUCUUCUGCCCCCCCCCAGU